rnacentral:rRNA from 1 species
CGACGGGUGAGUAACGCGUAUGCAACUUGCCUAUCAGAGGGGGAUAACCCGGCGAAAGUCGGACUAAUACCGCAUGAAGCAGGGAUCCCGCAUGGGAAUAUUUGCUAAAGAUUCAUCGCUGAUAGAUAGGCAUGCGUUCCAUUAGGCAGUUGGCGGGGUAACGGCCCACCAAACCGACGAUGGAUAGGGGUUCUGAGAGGAAGGUCCCCCACAUUGGAACUGAGACACGGUCCAA